GACGAACGCUGGCGGCGUGCUUAACACAUGCAAGUCGAACGGAAAGGCCCUGCUUUUGUGGGGUGCUCGAGUGGCGAACGGGUGAGUAACACGUGAGUAACCUGCCCUUGACUUUGGGAUAACUUCAGGAAACAGGGGCUAAUACCGGAUAGGAGCUCCUGCUGCAUGGUGGGGGUUGGAAAGUUUCGGCGGUGGGGGAUGGACUCGCGGCUUAUCAGCUUGUUGGUGGGGUAGUGGCUUACCAAGGCUUUGACGGGUAGCCGGCCUGAGAGGGUGACCGGCCACCUUGGGCCUGAGAUACGGCCCAGACUCCUACGGGAGGCAGCAGUGGGGAAUAUUGCACAAUGGGCGGAAGCCUGAUGCAGCAACGCCGCGUGCGGGAUGACGGCCUUCGGGUUGUAAACCGCUUUCGCCUGUGACGAAGCGUGAGUGACGGUAAUGGGUAAAGAAGCACCGGCUAACUACGUG
rnacentral:rRNA from 1 species